rnacentral:rRNA from 1 species
ACGGAGGGGGCUAGCGUUGUUCGGAAUUACUGGGCGUAAAGCGCACGUAGGCGGCUUUGCAAGUUAGAGGUGAAAGCCCAGGGCUUAACCCUGGAAUUGCCUUUAAAACUGCAUCGCUAGAAUCGUGGAGAGGUAAGUGGAAUUCCGAGUGUAGAGGUGAAAUUCGUAGAUAUUCGGAAGAACACCAGUGGCGAAGGCGACUUACUGGACACGUAUUGACGCUGAGGUGCGAAAGCGUGGGGAGCAAACAGGA